GAUGCCAGCUAGCGAUCCGCCAAAGUUCCUCCGAUGACUUGGUGGGCAGCUUCCGGGAAACCAAAGCAUUUGGGUUCCGGGGGAAGUAUGGUUGCAAAGCUGAAACUUAAAGGAAUUGACGGAAGGGCACCACCAGGAGUGGAGCCUGCGGUUUAAUUUGACUCAACACGGGAAACCUCACCAGGCCCGGACACCGGAAGGAUUGACAGAUUGAGAGCUCUUUCUUGAUUCGGUGGGUGGUGGUGCAUGGCCGUUCUUAGUUGGUGGAGCGAUUUGUCUGGUUAAUUCCGAUAACGAACGAGACUCUAGCCUACUAAAUAGACGUACUUUAUUACCGGCAUCUCAAGGCCCAUCGGCUGUAUUGUUACUGAAUGUUAUUUGUAUAUUUUGUUGAUAUAUAUUUAUUAUAUGUAUGAUUGAUAAUAUGUGUGUAUUAUAU
rnacentral:rRNA from 1 species